GACGAACGCUGGCGGCGUGCCUAAUACAUGCAAGUAGAACGCACAGUUUAUACCGUAGCUUGCUACACCAUAGACUGUGAGUUGCGAACGGGUGAGUAACGCGUAGGUAACCUGCCUGGUAGCGGGGGAUAACUAUUGGAAACGAUAGCUAAUACCGCAUAAUAUUGAUUAUUGCAUGAUAAUUGAUUGAAAGAUGCUAUUGCAUCACUACCAGAUGGACCUGCGUUGUAUUAGCUAGUAGGUGAGGUAACGGCUCACCUGGGCGACGAUACAUAGCCGACCUGAGAGGGUGAUCGGCCACACUGGGACUGAGACACGGCCCAGACUCCUACGGGAGGCAGCAGUAGGGAAUCUUCGGCAAUGGACGAAAGUCUGACCGAGCAACGCCGCGUGAGUGAAGAAGGUUUUCGGAUCGUAAAGCUCUGUUGUAAGAGAAGAACGGGUGUGAGAGUGGAAAGUUCACACUGUGACGGUAUCUUACCAGAAAGGGACGGCUAACUACGUG
rnacentral:rRNA from 1 species